UUUUACUUCCAGUUGGGCACUGGAUGGUUUCCUCGUAAAACUUGUUGUGUGCUUUAAGUUCCUUUAUGUUUGUUUUUAAUUUCCGCAUAAGUUCCGCGAUUGUAACCUACUAUCAUUCACCCCCCCUCUUGUAGUAGUUCAUCUAAACUAACAAUGGUUAAGUUUGGGUCAUAAUCUUUCUGAAUUGAGUAGCCUGAUCUCCUGCUGUGAUAGAGACAAACUAUUUUAAUUUAGCAAACACCUCAUUCCAUGUAUGAUUAGCCAUAUUUGGACCAAAAUUUCUAUUUUUGUGAACAUGUAUAGUAACAGAUUAAAGGUUAAAAGAACUGUUUGUUUUCAUUAACUUAUUUUCAAGCCAUGAAUGUUUCCUUGAAUUUCAAUAUUCUUAUGUAUAUAUGGUACUAAACAUGACAGAACGUCUUACAUUGCUGUUUCUUCCAACUUGUUUACCUCUGUUGUCAAGUCAGGUUGAUUGCCUCUGUCAAACUACAAUUUGCACAAUGUAUCCUAAAACAGUUGUCUGAUUAUGCCUUUUUAAUGCUAAAACUCAUAUAAUAUUAACCUUUUUAUGCUUAAUUUAAAUCUUAUGUAGAGAACAUGAAACGACUUAUUGAAGAUGAGGAGAUGAUGAAAAAGAAAUCAGAAUAUCGCAACAAUAAGAAGAGGCAAAAAGAAGAAAAGGAGAAGAAUGUAACAGACCUUGUCAUGCUCAAGGAAAGUAUUAGUGACAUGGGCACGGGCAUCGAAGAGGAUAACGGAGCUAGUUAUCCUAUCUUAGAUAGAUGGCAACCUGUCGAGUUCAAUGUGCCCUAUAAUGUCAGACUAGAAGAAAAUAGUGGCGAACAUUACUUCAUUGGUACCCUACAAAGUAACUUCUACAAGCUCAAAAAGUCUUUCAUAAAAGCAUCUAGCCAUCAAUCUAACAGUUGUGAAGAGUUAGUAUCAUUGUGCAGCAAACACGAAAGUUUAAUAAAUGUUGAACACAUAAUAUCAAGCCCCUUUAUCACGUUUGAGAGAUAUAUAGUAACCGAUUUAGUGUAUUCUCUGGAGAACUUUUUUGAUCUUGAGUAUCAGAAACUCAAGAGUACUGACAAAUUUGCUGAUGAGACAUUAAUUUGGAAAAUGUGGUGGGAGCAUAUUUCUAAGAUUUUCUAGAGAAUCUUUAGGGAUGUGGCUAGAGGUUUGAUGUUUUUGCAUGAGAAAACUGAUUACGUUUGUGGGGAUUUAUCAUUCAACACUUACGUGACAGUUGGUGGUAGGGGGUGAAUUCUACCCUCCUUGGAUAAGUCCAAGAAAGAUGCAGUAGAUGUGACUCAAUUUUUUCACCUACUGAAGAAUAUUGUAUAUUUUCCUUUCUUGGGAAAAUCUACUCCUGCCAUUGCUCUUCCGAGUGACUUGAGUAAACUCUUGAAUUUCAUUCCCUGCAUUCAGAAGAAACCGACAUAUGUUGUUAUUAAUCGUCCAUUUUUUUGGACGGUUCAAGAGAAAAUUGAGAUUUCCGUGAAGUGUAGGAGGUUUAUCAAAAAGGAAUCACACAUAGAGAAGGCUCUUGAAGAGAUGUUCACUGAAAAUUCUAUUUUCAACAAAUGGUGGACUGGACUUGAUGGUGUUUAUAAAGCGUUAUAUACAACUGCUGAAAACAAAAGGGAUAUGGCUAGUUACCGUUACAAUGUGGAUAUUGUACGAUUUUUCAAUGCGGCUUAUUCCCACAUUAAUGACACGAUCUACGAGAGAGCGCAACGGGGAGAAAUAUACUGAUGUUCAGAUUGAGAGUGGUUUGAUGGCAUAUUUUCCUGAUUUUUACGAUGUUAUAACUGAAUUUGUUUGUCAAUGUAUAAAUGCUAUGCAAAUAAGAAAAGAUGAAGAGAUGAAGGAAUUCUACAAUUUACUUCCGAGUUGAUCAUCGAUGAGAUUUUCUAAUGACCCUGCUUAAUUCUCUGAUGCCAAUCAUGUCAAAGGCUGGUUCUUGUGGAGGCGACUUUGUCAAUAUAGGGCGCAACUCAAGCUCUGAAAUUUCAUCAAGCUUGUUAAACUUCUAAAACUUUAGCACAAAUACUCUAUUUUGUUUAGUCUUAAAAAUCACAUAUAUCAAUUUUGUUUCUUCACCAUUUCUAGAUAUACAGUAUGUGCUUGGUUUUAUAUGAAACUUUUGUUUCACCUUGUAUGACCUUGUUACUAUUCAUGUUAAUAUUUGAACUAUUACAUUAGUGAA